UUCUCUUCAGGGUUGCUCUCAAGCCAUUCUUUGCCCAAUGGCAGGGCAGUUUUAUCCAGUAAAGUGAAUGACCAGGGGUCUUGAAGCUGAAAUGAUCUCAACCUAUUCUCAGGCUUUCAGUGGGUAAGACACUCAGCUCAUUGGUGUGGAGCUGGGCCAUGGAAUGCGAGUGCUCAGUGGGCCACUUUUGGUAAGCAGGACCAAUGCUAUGGAAUGAACCAAAUGCUAGUUUAAGGUGCUCCAUGCUAAUGCUCAUCAGAGCCCAGAAAAGGUGUUGGUUCAUCUAGACAGUCGCAGGACAAUGACCACAGAAGUCAUACCCUGCUGAGGAGUGUGUAUCAACUCACCUGUCCAGUCAAAUAGCCCUGAAAAUGGUUGGUGCCACUGGUAGUGUUGUGGAGCCAUGAAGGCUACGCUGUGACUAGGAGGACUCUUUGGUGGCCUAGAAGCCUGGGGCAUCAGCCCUGGUGAAGCCACCACUAGUG
rnacentral:ncRNA from 1 species